rnacentral:rRNA from 1 species
CCAAGGAGUCUAACAUGCGCGCGAGUCGUUGGGUAGUACGAAACCCGAAGGCGAAGUGAAAGCGAGGGCCGUCUCUGACGAGCUCAGGUGGGAUCCCUCUCUUCCGGGAGGGGGCGCACCACCGGCCCGUCUCGUCCGCGUUGUCGGUGAGGCGGAGCAUGAGCGCGCACGUUGGGACCCGAAAGAUGGUGAACUAUGCCUGAGUAGGACGAAGCCAGAGGAAACUCUGGUGGAGGUCCGCAGCGAUUCUGACGUGCAAAUCGAUCGUCAAACUUGGGUAUAGGGGCGAAAGACUAAUCGAACCAUCUA